rnacentral:rRNA from 1 species
GAUGAACGCUAGCGGGCAGGCCUAACACAUGCAAGUCGAGGGAGAGGUUAUCUUCGGGUAACCAAAACCGGCGCACGGGUGUGUAACGCGUAUACAAUCUGCCUUUCACAUAGGGAUAGCCCGAAGAAAUUUGGAUUAAUACCUAAUGGUAUAUAAGAGCGGCAUCGUUUUUAUAUUAAAGCUACGGUGGUGAAAGAUGAGUAUGCGUUCUAUUAGCUAGUUGGAGAGGUAACGGCUCCCCAAGGCGACGAUAGAUAGGGGUUCUGAGAGGGAUGUCCCCCACACUGGUACUGAGAUACGGACCAGACUCCUACGGGAGGCAGCAGUGAGGAAUAUUGGACAAUGGUCGGAAGACUGAUCCAGCCAUGCCGCGUGCAGGAUGAAGGUCCUAUGGAUUGUAAACUGCUUUUGUAAGGGAAGAAUAAGGAGUACGUGUACUUUGAUGACGGUACCUUACGAAUAAGCAUCGGCUAACUCCGUGCCAGCAGCCGCGGUAAUACGGAGGAUGCGAGCGUUAUCCGGAAUCAUUGGGUUUAAAGGGUCCGUAGGCGGGCUGAUAAGUCAGAGGUGAAAGCGCUUAGCUCAACUAAGCAACUGCCUUUGAAACUGUCAGUCUUGAAUGAUUGUGAAGUAGUUGGAAUGUGUAGUGUAGCGGUGAAAUGCUUAGAUAUUACACAGAACACCGAUAGCGAAGGCAUAUUACUAACAAUUUAUUGACGCUGAUGGACGAAAGCGUGGGGAGCGAACAGG